CCGGGAGCUCCCUCGGCCCGGACCCUGGCAUCGACUAGAGGGAUCCACCGAUACGUCCGGUCGCGGGAUGUAUCGGGACACCAACAGCGACUGGGAUCGUCAUCUCGGCUUGUUCGCGUGACCGGGAGAUCCAAGUAGAGGCAUAGCGAACUGCGCACGGAGAAGUCUUGAGGGAAUGCCGUAGGACCCGGGUUCGAUUCCCGGCAGCUCCACAA
rnacentral:tmRNA from 1 species